GUGUGUGUGCGUGUGUGUGCGCGUGUGUGUGUGUGUGUGUGUAGGUGACUGACCACCGAGGGAGCGCAGCCGGCUGUGUGAGGGAUCAGAAGGUGGACGAGGCUGCGGGUGUCCUGCUCAGUGUUACGCUGGUCCUCUACGGAACCCAACCACCAAAUGGGGCCCCUCUAGGGACCGUAGUAUCCCUGGGGACCCACCACCUGGUUCCCCAGGCUGAGCUGCAUGCCAGGGGCCCCUCUGCGGUUCUUGAUGUCAUCCAAUGGGCCUACCAGCUGGAGACAGAGAGGAGGGUGUGCUUUGAGGACAUCCCUGACCCACCUAGACCUGAGAUACACGGGCGUAUCUAAAUGUGCGUCUAUGUGUACGUGUGUUUGUUUGUGUGUGUGUGUGUGUGUGUUUCUGUGUGCAUGUGUUUGUGUGUGUUUGUGCAUAUGUGUGUACCUGUGUUUGUG